rnacentral:rRNA from 1 species
GACGAACGCUGGCGGCGUGCUUAACACAUGCAAGUCGAACGGAAAGGCCCUGCUUUUGUGGGGUGCUCGAGUGGCGAACGGGUGAGUAACACGUGAGUAACCUGCCCUUGACUUUGGGAUAACUUCAGGAAACUGGGGCUAAUACCGGAUAGGAGCUCCUGCUGCAUGGUGGGGGUUGGAAAGUUUCGGCGGUUGGGGAUGGACUCGCGGCUUAUCAGCUUGUUGGUGGGGUAGUGGCUUACCAAGGCUUUGACGGGUAGCCGGCCUGAGAGGGUGACCGGCCACAUUGGGACUGAGAUACGGCCCCGACUCCUACGGGAGGCAGCAGUGGGGAAUAAUGCACAAUGGGCGGAAGCCUGAUGCAGCCACGCCGCGUGCGGGAUGACGGCCUUCGGGUUGUAAACCGCUUUCGCCUGUGACGAAGCGUGAGUGGCGGUAAUGGGUAAAGAAGCACCGGCUAACUACGUG